rnacentral:rRNA from 1 species
AACGAACGCUGGCGGCAUGCCUAACACAUGCAAGUCGAACGAGACCUUCGGGACUAGUGGCGCACAGGGGCGUAACGCGGGGGAACCUGCCCGUAGACUCGGAAUAACUCCCCGUAAGGGGUGCUAAUACAGGAUAAUGUCUGCGGACAAAAGAUUUUUCGCCCUUGGCUGGGCCGGAGUUCGUUUCACUAGGUGGGAGGGUAAAAGCCUACCAAGGAGACGAUCGUUAGCUGGGCUGAGAGACUGAUCCGCCACGCUUGGACUGAGACGCGGGCCAGACUCCUACGGGAGGCAGCAGUGGGUAAUCUUGGACAAUGGGCGGAGGCCUGAUCCAGCACUGCCGCUUGAGUGCUUAAGGCCUUAGGGUUGUAAAGCUCUUUUACCCGGCAUUAUAAUGACGGUACCGGGAGAAUAAGCACCGGCUAACUCCGUG